rnacentral:ribozyme from 1 species
UGCACAGCAACUUCUAUCCCUACCUCCUCGUGAUACUGGCCGGGGUACGAGUAACCUUGGGGAAGA